rnacentral:rRNA from 1 species
AUGCACGCUGGCGGCGUGCCUAAUACAUGCAAGUCGAGCGAACGGACGAGAAGCUUGCUUCUCUGAUGUUAGCGGCGGACGGGUGAGUAACACGUGGAUAACCUACCUAUAAGACUGGGAUAACUUCGGGAAACCGGAGCUAAUACCGGAUAAUAUUUUGAACCGCAUGGUUCCAAAGUGAAAGACGGUCUUGCUGUCACUUAUAGAUGGAUCCGCGCUGCAUUAGCUAGUUGGUAAGGUAACGGCUUACCAAGGCAACGAUGCAUAGCCGACCUGAGAGGGUGAUCGGCCACACUGGAACUGAGACACGGUCCAGACUCCUACGGGAGGCAGCAGUAGGGAAUCUUGCGCAAUGGGCGAAAGCCUGACGGAGCAACGCCGCGUGAGUGAUGAAGGUCUUCGGAUCGUAAAACUCUGUUAUUAGGGAAGAACAUAUGCGUAAGUAACUGUGCACAUCUUGACGGUACCUAAUCAGAAAGCCACGGCUAACUACGUG